rnacentral:rRNA from 1 species
UACGUAGGGGGCAAGCGUUGUCCGGAAUUAUUGGGCGUAAAGAGCGUGUAGGCGGCCAGAUAAGUCCGCUGUGAAAUCCCCCGGCUCAACUGGGGAACUGCACAGGAAACUAGCGGGCUUGAGUUCGGGAGAGGGAAGCGGAAUUCCGGGUGUAGCGGUGAAAUGCGUAGAUAUCCGGAGGAACACCGGUGGCGAAGGCGGCUUCCUGGACCGACACUGACGCUGAGGCGCGAAAGCUAGGGGAGCAAACGGG